CAGCAGCCGCGGUAAUACGGAAGGUCCUAGCGUUGUUCGGAAUUACUGGGCGUAAAGCGCAUGUAGGCGGAACAGAAAGUUAGAAGUGAAAUCCCUGGGCUCAACCUAGGAAUUGCUUUUAAAACUUCUGUUCUGGAAUUCAGGAGAGGAAAAUGGAAUAUCCAGUGUAGAGGUGAAAUUCGUAGAUAUUGGAUGGAACACCAGUGGCGAAGGCGAUUUUCUGGACUGAUAUUGACGCUGAGAUGCGAAGGCAUGGGUAGCAAACGGGAUUAGAUACCCCGGUAGUCCAUGCAGUAAACGAUGGGUGCUAGUCGUCGGACUUAUGUUCGGUGUCGUAGCUAACGCGUUAAGCACCCCGCCUGGGGAGUACGGUCGCAAGAUUAAAACUCAAAUAAAUUGACGGGGACCCGCACAAGCAGUGGAGCAUGUGGUUUAAUUCGACGCAACGCGAAGAACCUUACCAGCGUUUGACAUGGGAAGUACCGGUUACAGAAUGGUAACCUUCAGUUCGGCUGGCUUCUACACAGGUGCUGCAUGGCUGUCGUCAGCUCGUGCCG
rnacentral:rRNA from 1 species